CCCAGGUUGCAAAGAAGUAUACAAGGUCGGGGAUCUUGAUGAUGAGAUCCCAAAUUUUUCUAAUGGAGCAUUGUCUUUACCGGCACCAGGUGGUUCCAAAGGUAUGAUGAGGAGAAAUCAAAAUGGAGAGUUCGACCACAACAAAUGGCUGUUUGAGACACAAGGCACAUACGGGUAUGGAAAUGCUUAUUGGCCUGAUGAUAGGGACGGAGAUGACGGAGAUGGAGGAAUCCACAAAACCAUGCUGGAUACAUCUGCUGAUAUACCUUGGAAACCCCUCAGUAGGAAGUUGCCAAUACCACAUAGCAUCAUUAGCCCUUAUAGGUAAUUAGAACUUUAAUUUUGUGUACGAAUUGCUAUAUAUAUAAAAACUUAAUUGAGUAAUACUACGUUCGUACAGGUUGCUAAUUGUUAUUCGACUAGUGGUACUGUGCUUCUUCUUGGCAUGGAGAGUACGACAUCCAAACAGGGAAGCAAUGUGGUUAUGGGUGAUGUCAAUUACAUGUGAAUUAUGGUUUGCAUUUUCAUGGAUCCUGGAUCAGAUGCCCAAGGUGACGCCCAUUAAUAGGUCGACUGAUCUAGUGGUACUAAGAGAGAAAUUUGAUAUGCCAUCACCGUCCAAUCCUUCGGGUAGGUCGGAUCUACCAGGAGUUGACAUGUUUGUGUCAACGGCUGAUCCAGAAAAAGAGCCGCCCCUUGUCACAGCCAACACCAUCCUAUCCAUAUUAGCAGUUGACUAUCCCGUGGAUAAGCUUGCUUGCUAUAUUUCAGACGAUG
rnacentral:lncRNA from 1 species